rnacentral:rRNA from 1 species
GAUGAACGCUGGCGGCGUGCUUAACACAUGCAAGUCGAACGGAAAGGCCCAAGCUUGCUUGGGUACUCGAGUGGCGAACGGGUGAGUAACACGUGGGUGAUCUGCCCUGCACUUCGGGAUAAGCCUGGGAAACUGGGUCUAAUACCGGAUAGGACCACAUUUUGGAUGGUGUGGUGGAAAGUUUUUCGGUGUGGGAUGAGCUCGCGGCCUAUCAGCUUGUUGGUGGGGUAAUGGCCUACCAAGGCGUCGACGGGUAGCCGGCCUGCGAGGGUGUACGGCCACAUUGGGACUGAGAUACGGCCCAGACUCCUACGGGAGGCAGCAGUGGGGAAUAUUGCACAAUGGGCGCAAGCCUGAUGCAGCGACGCCGCGUGGGGGAUGACGGCCUUCGGGUUGUAAACUCCUUUCGCUAGGGACGAAGCGUUAUGUGACGGUACCUGGAGAAGAAGCACCGGCUAACUACGU